rnacentral:rRNA from 1 species
AGUCGAACGCUCACCUUCGGGUGGGAGUGGCAGACGGGUGAGUAACACGUGGGAACGUACCCUUUGGUUCGGGACAACUCUGGGAAACUGGAGCUAAUACCGGAUACGCCCUUUUGGGGAAAGGUUUACUGCCGAAGGAUCGGCCCGCGUCUGAUUAGCUAGUUGGUGGGGUAACGGCCUACCAAGGCGACGAUCAGUAGCUGGUCUGAGAGGAUGAUCAGCCACACUGGGACUGAGACACGGCCCAGACUCCUACGGGAGGCAGCAGUGGGGAAUAUUGGACAAUGGGCGCAAGCCUGAUCCAGCCAUGCCGCGUGAGUGAUGAAGGCCUUAGGGUUGUAAAGCUCUUUUAUCCGGGACGAUAAUGACGGUACCGGAGGAAUAAGCCCCGGCUAACUUCGUGCCAGCAGCCGCGGUAAUACGAAGGGGGCUAGCGUUGCUCGGAAUCACUGGGCGUAAAGGGCGCGUAGGCGGCGUUUUAAGUCGGGGGUGAAAGCCUGUGGCUCAACCACAGAAUGGCCUUCGAUACUGGGACGCUUGAGUCUGGUAGAGGUUGGUGGAACUGCGAGUGUAGAGGUGAAAUUCGUA